rnacentral:rRNA from 1 species
GUCUGCAGCCAUACCACCUUAAACGCGCCCAUCUCGUCUGGUCUCGGAAGCUAAGCCGGGUCAGGACUGGUUAGUACUUGGAUGGAAGACAGAUCUUCAGAAGAGAUUGCUCAGAGACAAGCAGUUUGGAGACA